UACGUAGGGAGCAAGCGUUGUCCGGAUUCAUUGGGCGUAAAGAGCUCGUAGGCGGUUCAGUAAGUCGGGUGUGAAAGCUCCGAGCUCAACUCGGAGAGGCCACCCGAUACUGCUGUGACUUGAGUCCAGUAGAGGAGUGUGGAAUUCCUGGUGUAGCGGUGAAAUGCGCAGAUAUCAGGAGGAACACCCGUAGCGAAGGCGGCACUCUGGGCUGGUACUGACGCUGAGGAGCGAAAGUGUGGGUAGCAAACAGGAUUAGAUACCCUGGUAGUCCACACCGUAAACGUUGGGCACUAGGUGUGGGGGGGAGUCAACCCCCUCCGUGCCGUAGCUAACGCAUUAAGUGCCCCGCCUGGGGAGUACGGCCGCAAGGCUAAA
rnacentral:rRNA from 1 species